CUGUGCGAGAAGACGCGACGGUGCGAGAGGCCGCGCAGCGAACGUUAGUGUCCAGGACGACACGGCGCGGAACCUCCCGGCUCCCGACACCCAGACGGCUUGUGGAGCCAGACGGCUCUUGAAGGGACCGCGGCAAGGCCACAGCGCGAAGUCUCUCACAGUCCGUUUAAGCAUGUUGGAAGAUUGCAUUGUCCUUCUCCUUGAAGUUAGAUGCAGCUGCAUGGGUGUUGAGCCAAUAAAACAGAGCAGAAGUGAAAUAAGACACUUCUAAGUAUAAGAUCGCCAAGGCUAGUACUCAUCUCUCCAGCCCUUCCUGCCCCUACUUGGAUGCGUGUAAUCACAGGAGUUCAUAUCCACAUGGAGGUGGUGUAAGCCUGGAACAGCCUGGAGGACUGAGCAAGCACACGGAGAGACAACCAUGGAGAAUUGCCUGGAGAUCAGCAGAUUUGUUGGGAUUUUAGUUCUCCAACCAGAAUCAAACCCCAGCUCUCAGCAAUGAGAGCAUGGAGUCCUAACCACUGGACUGCCAGGGAAUUACCUGCUGUUUGUUUGUGAGACUG